GGUCAGUAAUCAUCAUUAAGUUUUUCGGCAAAAGGGAGGAAGUGGGAUAAUACCGAAAUCCAUUACUUACAAAAACCAUGUAGAGAACAAGAGACAUAAAAGGAGACAACAGAUUCUUUUCGCAUGGGUGAAAUCAUGAGCUCCUCCCUGGGACCUUCUGCUUCUCCUUUGAUCAGACCUCCAAGACCUCUCCCGUGAAGUGCAGCUUCUGAUCUGAUCAAAGUCCGUUCGGGCAACGGAGUGAAGAGAAGCGUGGCCCUUUCCAUCAUCUCCACAUCCAGCUUUCAUUAUUAAGCAACACUCAUCUGAGCAUAAAGUUGGUCAGGAAGCUCGCUGUUGAUCUGAAGGCAGCUGAAAGGGCAAAUGAGAAAGGC